rnacentral:rRNA from 1 species
UACGUAGGGGGCAAGCGUUGUCCGGAAUCAUUGGGCGUAAAGCGCGUGUAGGCGGCUCGAUAAGUCUGCUGUGAAAGUCCAAGGCUCAACCUUGGGAUGCCGGUGGAUACUGUCGAGCUCGAGUCCGGAAGAGGAGUGUGGAAUUCCUGGUGUAGCGGUGAAAUGCGCAGAUAUCAGGAGGAACACCAAUGGCGAAGGCAGCACUCUGGGACGUGACUGAUGCUGAGACGCGAAAGCGUGGGGAGCAAACAGG